rnacentral:rRNA from 1 species
UACGGAGGGUGCAAGCGUUAUCCGGAUUCACUUGGGUUUAAAGGGUGCGUAGGUGGGCUGGUAAGUCAGUGGUGAAAUCUCCAGGCUUAACUUGGAAACUGCCAUUGAUACUAUCAGUCUUGAAUACCGUGGAGGUCAGCGGAAUAUGUCAUGUAGCGGUGAAAUGCUUAGAUAUGACAUAGAACACCAAUUGCGAAGGCAGCUGGCUACACGAAUAUUGACACUGAUGCACGAAAGCGUGGGGAUCAAACAGG